GCCGGGAGUCGUGGCGCGCUCCUGUAAUCCAGCUUCCCGGAGGCCAGGUCCAGGGACGGCCCCGGUCCGGGGCUGUGGCCCCGCGCCGUGUCCGUGCCGACAGGGCGUCCGCGCUAAGCGGGGCGUCGACAUGGCGGGCCCGGGGGAGCCCGGGGCGGCCAGGUCGCCUAACGAGGAGCGCACCGGCCCAGGGCGGAGACGCAGCAGGCAGAAGCUCCCGCGUCCCGCAGUAGCGGGAUCGCGCCCUGGAACGGGACACGCGGGGCUGCCCGGACAUGGAGCCCGGACCUGGACCUUU
rfam:Ixodes scapularis strain Wikel colony gcontig_1108379277938, whole genome shotgun sequence.